ACGGAAGGCAGCAGUGGGGAAUAUUGGGCAAUGGGCGAAAGCCUGACCCAGCGACGCCGCGUGAAGGAAGACGGUCCUCGGAUUGUAAACUUCUUUUAUAAGGGACGAUAGUGACGGUACCUUAUGAAUAAGCCACGGCUAACUACGUGCCAGCAGCCGCGGUAAUACGUAGGUGGCGAGCGUUAUCCGGAUUUACUGGGUGUAAAGGGCGCGUAGGCGGGGAUGCAAGUCAGGUGUGAAAUCUAUGGGCUUAACCCAUAAACUGCAUUUGAAACUGUAUCUCUUGAGUGUCGGAGAGGUAGAUGGAAUUCCUAGUGUAGCGAUGAAAUGCGUAGAUAUUAGGAGGAACACCAGUGGCGAAGGCGGUCUACUGGACGAUAACUGACGCUGAGGCGCGAAAGCGUGGGGAGCAAACAGGAUUAGAUACCCUGGUA
rnacentral:rRNA from 1 species